CAGCCGCCGCGGUAAUACGUAGGGGGCGAGCGUUGUCCAGAGUUACUGGGCGUAAAGAGCGUGUAGGCGGUUGAAAAAGUCAGGUGUGAAAUUCUUCGGCUCAACCGAGGGACUGCGCUUGAAACUUUUCGACUGGAGUUUGGGAGGGGCAACCGGAAUUCCUGGUGUAACGGUGAAAUGUGUAGAUAUCAGGAGGAACACCCGUGGCGAAGGCGGGUUGCUGGACCAAAACUGACGCUGAGACGCGAAAGCGUGGGUAGCAAACAGGAUUAGAUACCCUGGUAGUCCACGCUGUAAACGAUGAGUGCUAGGUGUAGGGGGUAUCGACUCCUUCUGUGCCGCAGCUAACGCAUUAAGCACUCCGCCUGGGGAUUACGGCCGCAAGGUUAAAACUCAAAGGAAUUGACGGGGGCCCGCACAAGCGGUGGAGUAUGUGGUUUAAUUCGAUGAUACGCGAGAAACCUUACCUGGUCUUGACAUGUUAAGAAUCCUUCAGAGAUGAGGGAGUGCUUGCUUGCAAGAACUUAAACACAGGUGGUGCAUGGCC
rnacentral:rRNA from 1 species